GGGGAUCGAAAGACCUUAUGCUUUUGGAGCGGCCGAUGUCUGAUUAGCUAGUUGGUAAGGUAAUGGCUUACCAAGGCGACGAUCAGUAGUUGGUCUGAGAGGACGACCAGCCACACUGGGACUGAGACACGGCCCAGACUCCUACGGGAGGCAGCAGUGGGGAAUUUUGGACAAUGGGCGCAAGCCUGAUCCAGCAAUGCCGCGUGAGUGAAGAAGGCCUUCGGGUUGUAAAGCUCUUUCAGUCGAGAAGAAAAGGCUGUGACUAAUAAUC
rnacentral:rRNA from 2 species